rnacentral:rRNA from 1 species
ACGAACGCUGGCGGCGUGCUUAACCCAUGCAAGUCGAACGGUGAACGAGGGAGCUUGCUCCCUCCGGAUCAGUGGCGAACGGGUGAGUAACACGUGAGCAAUCUGCUCCGAACUCUGGGAUAAGCGUUGGAAACGACGUCUAAUACCGGAUACGACGCGGGAGGGCAUCCUCUCCGCGUGGAAAGAACUUCGGUUCGGGAUGAGCUCGCGGCCUAUCAGCUUGUUGGGGAGGUAACGGCUCACCAAGGCGACGACGGGUGGCCGGCCUGAGAGGGUGACCGGCCACACUGGGACUGAGACACGGCCCAGACUCCUACGGGAGGCAGCAGUGGGGAAUAUUGCACAAUGGGCGCAAGCCUGGUGCAGCAACGCCGCGUGAGGGACGACGGCCUUCGGGUUGUAAACCUCUUUUAGCAGGGAAGAAGCGAAAGUGACGGUACCUGCAGAAAAAGCACCGGCUAACUACGUG